UACGAAGGGUGCAAGCGUUAAUCGGAAUUACUGGGCGUAAAGGGUGCGUAGGCGGUUCGUUAAGUCUGUCGUGAAAUCCCCGAGCUCAACCUGGGAAUGGCGAUGGAUACUGGCGAGCUAGAGUGUGUCAGAGGAUGGUGGAAUUCCCGGUGUAGCGGUGAAAUGCGUAGAGAUCGGGAGGAACAUCAGUGGCGAAGGCGGCCAUCUGGGACAACACUGACGCUGAGGCACGAAAGCGUGGGGAGCAAACAGG
rnacentral:rRNA from 1 species